rnacentral:rRNA from 1 species
GAUGAACGCUAGCUACAGGCUUAACACAUGCAAGUCGAGGGGCAGCAUGGUCUUAGCUUGCUAAGGCCGAUGGCGACCGGCGCACGGGUGAGUAACACGUAUCCAACCUGCCGUCUACUCUUGGACAGCCUUCUGAAAGGAAGAUUAAUACAAGAUGGCAUCAUGAGUCCGCAUGUUCACAUGAUUAAAGGUAUUCCGGUAGACGAUGGGGAUGCGUUCCAUUAGAUAGUAGGCGGGGUAACGGCCCACCUAGUCUUCGAUGGAUAGGGGUUCUGAGAGGAAGGUCCCCCACAUUGGAACUGAGACACGGUCCAAACUCCUACGGGAGGCAGCAGUGAGGAAUAUUGGUCAAUGGGCGAGAGCCUGAACCAGCCAAGUAGCGUGAAGGAUGACUGCCCUAUGGGUUGUAAAACUUCUUUUUAUAAAGGAAUAAAGUCGGGUAUGGAUACCCGUUUGCAUGUACUUUAUGAAUAAGG